rnacentral:rRNA from 1 species
GAUGAACGCUGGCGGCGUGCCUAAUACAUGCAAGUCGAGCGAACGGACGAGAAGCUUGCUUCUCUGAUGUUAGCGGCGGACGGGUGAGUAACACGUGGAUAACCUACCUAUAAGACUGGGAUAACUUCGGGAAACCGGAGCUAAUACCGGAUGAUAUUUUGAACCGCAUGGUUCAAAAGUGAAAGACGGUCUUGCUGUCACUUAUAGAUGGAUCCGCGCUGCAUUAGCUAGUUGGUAAGGUAACGGCUUACCAAGGCAACGAUGCAUAGCCGACCUGAGAGGGUGGUCAGCCACACUGGAACUGAGACACGGUCCAGACUCCUACGGGAGGCAGCAGUAGGGAAUCUUCAGCAAUGGGCGGAAGACUGACGGAGCAACGCCGCGUGAGUGAUGAGGGUCUUCGGAUCGUAAAACUCUGUUAUUGGGGAAGAACAUAUGUGUAAGUAACUGUGCACAUCUUGACGGUACCUAAUCAGAAAGCCACGGCUAACUACGUG